rnacentral:rRNA from 1 species
GUUCAGAUUGCAGGCUGCAACUCGCCUGCAUGAAGUUGGAAUUGCUAGUAAUCGCGAAUCAGAAUGCCGCGGUGAAUACGUUCCCGGGCCUUGUACACACCGCCCGUCACACCAUGAGAGUUGGCAAUACCCAACGUACGUGAUCUAACCCGCAAGGGAGGAAGCGUCCUAAGGUAGGGUCAGCGAUUGGGGUGAAGUCGUAACAAGGUAAC